rnacentral:lncRNA from 10 species
CAUGACUUCAAUUGAGAGAUGAGUUUCAAGCCACCUUUCAAGGAAUCCUGGGUAGAAUGAAAUCUGUUCCAUGGAAUCUUAAGAAGAAGAAGAAAAAAAAUCAAGAUCCCUGUGGAUACUCUCCUGAUAUACCACGAUGCAGAAUGUCAAGUAGGAAAAGAAGCUGUUGCAUUGGGCAAUUAAGAAGUCAUUGGUGAGAGAAGUUUCAGUCUGAAGUGGAAUCAUAGUAAAUUACAGAAAAAUAGUCUUUGGAGAGAGAAGGAAUCUGGUUAAUCCACAGGCCACACAAUCAUGGUUGAAAAUUAGUGAAUGAGCGAAUGAUGGAUCCAUCUCUUGAAGCAAUACUUGAAUCGCAGAAUUCUUAUAUUGAUAGAAGCAGAAGGAAACCAGAAGUGCUCCAAUUAAAGGCCUCCAUUUUUCAGAUCAGCAGACUAUGAGCCAUGCAUAGGAUCACACACAGGUGUGGUAGAGCAGGGACCAUGACUCUUGGUCCUGUGUUAUUUCCGUUUCUGCGUGCCAAUGCCUACUCUAUGGCUGCUGGAGAGGGAGGAGGUUGGGGAAGGUGGAAACACCUGGAGUGGAAAAGAGAAGUGCUGGGAACAGAGGACACUAGUGCCUUCAGCACAUCCCAUCUUCCCAUUGCCACUCAGCUGACCUAUCAGCAAAGGUGGGAGUGAAAGUUACAGGGAUUCUGGGCCAGGUGCAGUGGCUCAUGGCUGUAAUCCCAGCACUUUGAGAGGCCGAGGCGGGCAGAUCACCUGAGGUCAGGAGUUUGAGACCAGCCUGGCCAACAUGGUGAAAUCCCGUCUCUACUAAAAAUACAAAAAUUAGCCGGGCAUGGUGGCACCCGCCUGUAAAUCCGGCUACUUAGGAGGCUAAGGCAGGGGAAUUGCUUGAAUCCAGGAGGUGGAGGUUGCAGUGAGCUGAGAUCAUGCCACUGCACUCCUGCCUGGGCGACAGCAAGACUCCAUCUCAAAAAAAAAAAAAAAAUUACUGGGAUUCUGGAAGGGAGAGGAAUAAAAAUGAUGUGUGGGACAUACCAAAUAGAGUGGGCGGGGCAUCAAGACUUCCCCCCAACUUUCCAUCAUAAAUUUAGAGUGCCUUUUCUUUUUCUGUAGCUCUUUUAAAAAUUAUGAGCCACUCAGCCUCGGCCUCCGGAGGUGCCGGGAUUGCAGACGGUGUCUGGUUCACUCAGUGCUCAAUGGUGCCCAGGCUGGAGUGCAGUGGCGUGAUCUCGGCUCGCUACAACCUCCACCUCCCAGCCGCCUGCCUUGGCCUCCCAAAGUGCCCAGAGUGCAGCCUCUGCCCGGCCGCCACCCCGUCUGGGAAGUGAGGGGCGUCUCUGCCUGGCCGCCCAUCGCUAAUCUCAAGUACCCAGGGACACAAACACUGUGGAAGGCCGCAGGAUCCUCUGCCUAGGAAAACCAGAGACCUUUGUUCACUUGUUUAUC